GUGGGUGGGGCUCGCGAUUUGAGUCGGGACUAGCGGAUUCGCCGGAGGCUCUGGUCUCCCAGCAAGAGGACAAAUGUGCCGGGAUGUAUGCAGGCAAGCCAGAAGAGGAGAGUCCAGGACCAGUAAAUCAGGUCAGUAAAUGCACUAUUCUGUCAGGGGCCAAGUUACCACUGAAGAGGUAAGACAAGUGAUGGUUGAGGAUCAUAAAUGUGAUUCAAGGACAGCAGAAAUUACCAAGAAGAAAGGGAAAUGUCUGUCAGAUGUGGCACCAAUCUCUUAGUUUCCCCUUAGUAAUACUCCACUGAGAGUAGUUAGAGAAGCUAGUGGGCCAUUGAGAUGGCAGGGUGCCAGCAGCAUUUGGACCCACAGCUUCUGCAACAUUCAAUGCCAGGGCCUGCAGCUGUGGUGGGUGCAGCAGCCUCAGAGGAUGUGAAGUGGACCUCCCCAGAAGUAUCUAUCCUUUUCAGAGAACACCAGCAGAUUAACAGUCACUUUGGACAUUGGAAGCUGCAGCAAACACCUCAAUAUAAUAAGUUGACACAGGAGCAAAGGGAAUGAAUGGUCCAACCCAUGGAGCAGUCAGGGAAGCUGGUCAGGGAAAAGGCAGGGGAGACACCCCUAAGGGGUCCCCAGGCUAUCUGUGAGGAAUUAAAGGGGUCUGGACUUCCCAUACUGUUGUUAGAAACUAAGGAAAAAUACUACUAAUAAGAUAAAUGUCUGUGGUUGUCUUACAUCUUAGCUGGGUAUGUAGGAAUUUAGGUUAUAUGAAAAUUAUUUAGAAUUAAGCUUUCUUUCUUUUUUUCUUUUUCUUUCCUUUUUCUCCUGGUCACCCAUGGCAUAUAGAGUUCCCAGGUCAAGGGUAGGAUCUGACCUAUGCCACAGCUGCGGCAAUGCCAAAUCCUUUAACUCACUUGCCAGGCUGGGGAUUGAACCAUCCUAUUGUGCCACAGCAGGAACUCUAGAAGUAAGUUUUCUUAAGGAGUCACAAAACUUUUCUUUUUUGUUUUUUAGGGCUGCACCUGUGGCAUAUAGAGGUUCCCGGGCUAGGGGUUGAAUCAGAUCUGCAGCUGUUGGCCUACACCACAGCUGUAGCAAUGUGGAAUCAGAGCCACAUCUGUGACCUACGCCAUAGCUCAAGGCAACAUUGGAUCCUUAACCCACUGAGCGAGGCCAGGGAUUGAAUCUGCAUCCUCAUGGAUACUAGUAAGAUUCAUUUCUGCUGAGCCAUGAUGGGAAUUCCAACACAGGAUUAUUCCAACUCCCUCUCUUUCCCUCAGGGUUUGCUGACUUUACCUAUAAUGUCUUCUCAUGUUGCCUCACCCUAAAAGAAUUAGGACUAUCUAAGGCAGCAUUUAACUGGAAACCCAACUAAGGUUUGUGAGGCUGAACAAAUAAAGUUUUAUUUAAAUUUUUUUUUUAAUUUUGAUUUUUCUUUUUUCUUUAAAUUUUGUUCUGAGGUAUUUAUUUUUGAAUAUGCAAAAAUUUUAUUUAUUUAAAUAAUUUUUAUUUUUUCCAUUAUAGUUGGUUUACAGUGCUGAGUAAUCACUUUUCUACUGUACAGCAAAGUGACCCAGUCACACAUGCAUAUAUACAUUCAUUUUCUCACAUUACCCUCCAUUAUUCUCCAUCACAAGUGACUAGAUAUAGUUCCCAGAGCUACACAGCAGGAUCUCAUAGCUAAUCCAUUCUGAAUGCAAUACUUUAUAUCUAUUAACCCCAGAUUCCCAGUCCAUCCCACUCCCACCCCCUUCCCCUUGGUAAUCACAAGUCUGUUCUCCAAGUCCAUGAGUUUCUUUUCUGUGGAAAGGUUAUUUGUGCCAUAUAUUAGAUUCCAGAUGUGUGAUAUCAUAUGGUAUUUGUCUUUCUCUUUCUGACUUCACUUAGUAUGAGAGUCUAUAGUUGCAUCCAUGUUGCUGCAAAUGGCAUUAUUUUGUUCUUUUUUAUGGCUGUGAGGUAUUCCAUUGUGUAUAUAUACCAUAUCUUCUUAAUCAAUUCAUCUUGUCAGUGGACAUUGAGGUUGUUUCCAUGUCUUGGCUAUUAUGGAUGGUGCUGCAAUGAACAUAUGGGUGCAUGUGUCUAUUUCAAGGAAAGUUUUGUCUGGAUAUAUGCCCAUUAUAGUUGAUUUGCCAUAAUCCAUCAAUUUCUACUGUACAGCAAAGGUUUAUUUCUUACUUAACAGUAAAUCUGGAAUUGUCAUUCUUCUGACCUGGUUUCAAGAGCUCAGUGAAGAGAAACACAAUUGUAGAAAUCAAGUCUGUUUUUGAGACAGGAAGAAGGUAGAAAUGAGAAGGUGGGCCAAGGACUCAGCAGGAGGAUUUUAUGUUAUAUCAAGAAACAAAAGCUCCAGAAGGCUUCCAGUUAUGUUUCCUUGGCC
rnacentral:lncRNA from 1 species